UCUGUAAGCGGUUGAAGGUGUGUGGUAACGCAUGCUGGACGUAUCAGAAGUGCGAAUGCUGACAUGAGUAACGAUAAAGGGGGUGAAAAACCUCCUCGCCGGAAGACCAAGGGUUCCUGUCCAACGUUAAUCGGGGCAGGGUAAGUCGACCCCUAAGGCGAGGCCGAAAGGCGUAGUCGAUGGGAAACGGGUUAAUAUUCCCGUACUUCUUACAAUUGCGAUGGGGGGACGGAGAAGGCUAGGUGGGCCUGGCGACGGUUGU
rnacentral:rRNA from 1 species